rnacentral:tRNA from 1 species
UGCCGGGUAGCCAAGCGGUAAGGCACAGGACUUUGACUCCUGUAUGCGUAGGUUCGAAUCCUGCCCCGGUAGCCA